GAGCGUGCGAGUGAGGAUCGCCGGUAGCUUAGGCUGCUGGAGGAAAGUCCGAGCUGCUCAGGGCAAGGGUGCCGGGUAACGCCCGGGCGUCGAAAGGCGACGGAAAGUGCAACAGAGAACAGACCGCCGAUGGCCGCUUAGGCGGCACAGGCAAGGGUGAAACGGUGCGGUAAGAGCGCACCGGGCUCCUGGUAACAGUGAGUCGCUGGUAAACCCCACCCGCAGCAAGGCCAAAUAGGGAACGAGGAGUGGCCCGCUCCAUUUGAGUUCCGGGUAGGCUGCACGAGGCUGUUGGUAACAGCAGUCCCAGAUGAAUGAUCCUCCCCCGUAAGGGGACAGAACUCGGCUUAUUCCGCGCGUUCAACU
rnacentral:RNase_P_RNA from 1 species